rnacentral:rRNA from 1 species
GACGACGCUGGCGGCGUGCCUAACACAUGCAAGUCGAACGGUCCGGCACUCCAACCGACCCUCAGUCUAACUGUAGGGGAAGUUGAGUGCCGGAUAGUGGCGGACGGGUGAGUAACGCGUGGGCAACCAACCCUGUACAGUGGGAUAACACCGGGAAACCGGUGCUAAUACCGCAUGACACUUAACCGGCGCAUGCUGGUUAGGUUAAAGGGCAAAACCGGUACAGGACGGGCCCGCGUCCCAUUAGCUAGUUGGUGAGGUAACGGCUCACCAAGGCGACGAUGGGUAGCCGACCUGAGAGGGUGGCCGGCCACACUGGGACUGAGACACGGCCCAGACUCCUACGGGAGGCAGCAGUGGGGAAUAUUGCGCAAUGGACGAAAGUCUGACGCAGCGACGCCGCGUGAGCGACGAAGGCCUUCGGGUCGUAAAGCUCUGUUCUUGGGGACGAAUGAGAUGACGGUACCCAAGGAGAAAGCCCCGGCUAACUACGUG